GGUCGGGUGGUGUAGUUGGUUAUCACAUCUCGUUAACAGCUCAUAACUGUGACAAAAUACCGAGAAGGUCCUGGGGUAAGUCAGACUA